UGUUCCAUUGCUUACAGACACAAUAUCUUAAAACAGGGAGUUGGGAGUGACCAGAAUAGACAGGAUCAGAAAUAUGAAUAUAUAACAAGGACAGCACAGGGUGAGCAGUUUGGAGACAAAGUUAGAGAGGCAACCCUGAGAGUUUUAACACAUGAAGAGAAAAGAUGGUAGAUAUAUUGGGCAAAGGAUGCUAAAUAUGCAGCUUCCAGGCAAGAGGAGAAAAGGACGACUGCAGAGAAGAUUCAUGGCUGUAGUGACCGCAGAGGGUUGGUGUUACAGAGGAGGAUGCUAGGGGUAGGGCGACAUGGAGGCAGAGCAUCCAUCAAUUGGACUCAAGGAGGAACUAAGAUUUUGACUUUUUUUAUUUUAGAAAUCAAGGUCACUCUAACCUUGCAAACACAUUUUUCUAUAACUCAAGAAUUUCUACUAAUUUAUCUGGAAUUUUACAUCAAUUCCAGAUAUAUAGAAUGUCGCAACUCAAUUUAAUUGUUCUGUCUGUUACUAAGUGCCACUGUAAUGAUUGUGUAGCUAUUAGACACAUGAUAACCAUCAACAUUGUAGAAGUUGUACAUAAAGCGACUAUUACUGAAUUUGUCUCAUGUGAAUACAUGUUUAGCCAUAAAAACUAUUCUGCGUUCUGUUUUUCUUAGUGAACUAGGUAUAGUUGAGAGCAAGUCCCCACAAAGCUUUAGAAAGAAAGUAGAAAUAACCUGUUCUAUUCCUAGACCCUUGGUGUGGAUGGGGAACAAGUCUCAUUAAUAGGCAAAACAGGUAAAAACUACAACUUUACUGGUCGGUGAGGUGAGGACUCACAUUUUAGACCCUGCAGUUGUCUUGUGAAGUGACACUGGACUGAACUCAGAAGGUAUUGACAAAAAAAAUAAGAAUUUAUGACUUUUCUGAUUCAUUCUUUGUGUAAGACCAGACGUCUGCUUUUAAGACACGACAGUGAAUACAGUUUUUCCCAGAAGUACUUCAGAGUGAAUCCUGCAAAGUGUAGUCAACAUGACCAGUCAGUAACUGGAGGUUUGAGCUGAUAUUUUGGUUUGACUUUUCAAAAUUAAGCUCCUCGCAAUUUUACUUAAACACACACACACACAAACAAACAAAAAAAAAGCAUUUGCUCUACUGGAAAUGUUUUGUGGUUGGGUGGUACUGCUAAAUUGCUUUUCACCUCUACCACAUUUGAGCUGCCAAGCUGUGGUUGGCAACUAACCCGAGACUCCUGCCAAUAUUCGGCUCAUUUCACAUAUGGUUUGACUUUUCCACCCGGAAAAAUGGCGUAAAAAAAAUUCUGUGAAGCACGCAUCAUAUUUGAAUAUUAAAUAAAAUAAUUUAUUUAUGUACAUGUGGACGGAAAACUGUCAGCGCAACCCUUUCAUAAUAGAGAGGCAAACGAAUGCGGUGAAAAGUGUGGGACGUCUGUUGUCUUAAAGCUGAAGUAUGCCGUAUGAAGUGAAGUGUCAUUAACCUCCAAAAGCCCCUCAAAAGUGACCACCUUUCUCUUAUGUGUGGUGGAGGGUUUUGAGCAAGUGUCAUGCACCCCUCCUGCUGUAUCUAUCGUCUCGCUUCACUUCUGUCUCUCUAUUGAUUAAAGGCCGGGGGCCCUGAGUGUGUUGGGCUGCUGCACGGCACGUUUAAAAAGGCUCGUGUUUACCCUUUUCCUUCUCAACUCAGUACAUGAGAAAGGUUUAGUGAGCUGUGUGUACCACUGGUGACUCUGAGCGUAAAUAUGGCCUCAAAGGUUUCUUGUGCAACAGCCACAACAAGUCAGCACUUUACAAGGCAUUGCAGGCGACCUGCAGAUAUGCUUCGUUUGAAAUUUGAGCCUUGAGUAUAGCAUGUCAAGCAAUCUUCAAAUUACUCAGCUAGUCUUUAAUGAGGAGUCUUUCUUCCCUCAGUGGCACAUCAUUGCUUUCAAAGAAUGACAAGCAUCAUUGCAAGUGUGAACAAACUUGCAGGAGGAGCGUGCAGCCGUCAGGGAGAAGUGAAUCAAAAAUUUAACGACAGCAUAAAUUUUUGUAGAUUUGCACAGGCACCAGAGAUGGGGAGGGGAAACAGACAAACGGAGCAGCAGCAGCCCUGACACAUGGCCCAUAUUCACAGCCGCCUCCCACGUCACUGUGCUCCUCAGAGAAAAAGCCCCUUUUGUUUCCCAAAGCAGGGAGGGAGGAAGGUCUCUGGGGUGAACCGUCGCUCAGCUCCACUACUCCACCCGCCAUCAAAGGAAAAGAGAGAGAAAGAAAAAGGGACCGGACUUCCCAACUCUGCCUGGCGUCCUCCAUACUUACUCGCCGCCUCAGCACACAAACACAGGCUCAUCAGUAGUACCACUACUACGGUUGUGAUUGUCUUUUCCUGCAACUUAAUUGGGUCAGUCUGCAUCGUUGCAUUAAAGACGUCGCCAACAAUGACCUUGCUGUCCUGUGCACUGCUGCUAUUAAUGAAAGAGGUCUUUCAGCUGCUUUACUUGACCAAAAGUAACAUUGCUAGUGUGUAACACUUAUAAGAUAGCAAAGAAUCCCUGCAUUAAAAUGUACUGUGCAACUUUCCUCUGCAAAAUAUCCUUAAAAUCAUCAAAAGUAGAUCUAGUUAUGCACAAUUAUACCCCACAAUCAUGUAAUAUUAUUAUGUAUUUGAUUGUAUUACCUUUUUUAUCUUAAAAUAUCAGAUGUAUUAAUAUAAAAGCAUGUGGUAGUUUAUGGAAAAAGUAUUAUAUUUUCCUCAAAUAAAUAAAAUCCAACAUUCAAGUUAAGUUUAAGCAUGAAAGUACUUUUAUUCAGUGUAUCUCGAUGGCCUUCUACUGUGAAGAUUUUAGUCUUUUUAAACUGAUUUGUUCCAGCAUUUGACUUAAGAGUUGUGUGAUUUUGCCAAUGACAAACUGCACCUUUUUUAGGACAACUUGUAUUUUAAGAUUACGCUGUUUAAAUUCUGUGCAUCACCUACACAUGGUAGAUUUUCACCAGCAAGGCAUGGGUCAGUUUAGGCAGUUUGCACUAAUUGCUCUCCUUGAGCAGUGCAGUGGUUAGUGGUUCAUUAGCAGGCUGGUCCUUGUUGUGUAUAAUUUGCAUGUUCUCUCUCCAGGUACUCUGGAUUCUUCCCACAGCUCAAAAACGUGAAUAUUAACUUGCCAAUUCUAAAUUAUCUGUGAAUGUUAAUGUCAGCAUGAAUGACUGCCUCUCUGUGUUAGCCCUGCAAUAGACGGGCCACCUGUCCAGGGUGUAGCCCACCUCUCUUACACUACAACAGCUGGGUCAGACUCCAGCAACGCUGAAUUGGAUAAGUGGUUACGAGGCUGAAUUUAUGGCUCCCCCUCAGAUGCCUCAGGAUGUAAAAGUUGAUUUCCGCGCACACAAAAUUUUUGGACACUUUGAUGAAAACUGCUUGGAUGCAGCUGCUGAUCUAGCUUUAAUCACCUUUGUUAAUCGGCUGCACAAAAGUAUAAUUAUUUAUCUUUUUUCCCUCUCUGUCUGUUUAAAUUUGCAGUCCAUGGUGAAAUAGCAGACGUGCAAGUGGCCAGAAAGGGAUUUGGCAGUCACAGAAUCCUUUAAUUGCUCCAAUGUUGCAGUUCCUUGUGUGGAUGCCUGCUGUUUCCACCCGUCCACCACCUCAACAUCCACCUGUAAGCAGCUUGAGUGAUAAACCUACGUGUCAAACUCUAUAUUCUACUGCUGUAAUGAAUCAUUUAGAAAAGACUGAAGUUCAUCUGCGUAACUAGGCUAAAAGUCAAAUGAUAUUUUAUCCCUCUCAUGCUAGUCAUUUGGAAGUCAUUUCCUCCAGGGUUUGCCUUACGCCAGUCACUUCAAUUCAAAAGAAAGUGAAGCAACAAAAUUUACCGAUCACUGGAAGCUUUUUUUGUUUUUUUUCUACCUGUCAGAGUUGUGCCUUUUUAACAGAGACAAAGAGCAGCAGGGAAGAUCCAAAUCUAAGCACCCUGAAAUUUCUCUGCCUCAUCUAAGGUUGUUUUCGCCACGCUGACCUCGUUCCUGCUUGGAGCGCGUGCGGCGUCUGUUUGUCGUGUCACAGCAGCGUUGUUGUUAAGACACUGCUGAACUCUGGGUGACUUUCUCACAGGGGCCAAGUCCAGCUCCAAGUUUAUGAUCCAGCCAGUGAAUGUGUGAAACUUCACCGUGUGUGUGCGUGUGUGUGUGUGAGCUCGAGGGGCAAACAGACAAACGCCUGCCAGGAUGUCCAGAUAAAUCCAAAUUUCAGAAGCGACCAACCGAAGCUAAUCAUUCCUCUAGUAAUUCCUGCUUUGAUCAAAUUAUCUUUAUUCAGUAGCACAUUUAAUGGGGCUACUUUUCUUCAAACUCUGUGAGUACAAGCUCAGAUAAUCGAAUGUGACCCUGAAUAGGCUUGCAUGAAUUAACAAUUGCCUUUAAUGACAACGCCUGAGGGAAACAAUGGAGUGACCUUAACCAUAAGUGUUUUGUUUAUCCGACACAUAAGGAGAAAAAUGCUUGUGACUGACACUGAUUGACCUCGCAAAGCUUCCAGCUGGUAUGACCAUUUCCUGUAAUCCUCCUCCUUGAAGUCAUGGGGUUGUGGCGAGUUUAACAGAUAAAUAAAUGCCACAUAAAAACGCCAAUGGAAAAAGCUCCUAAUAAAUUAUGACUGGCUCAGUUUCAAAGUUAAUACAGUGUAUUAACAGACAGCAUCUUGAGUGCAACGUGUUGUUAAAUGGAAGAGGUAAACUGGCAGGUUUUUAGUAUUUAAUGUUUCUUCUGUCUAAAUAAAGAAAAAUAUUAUAUUAUCAUCUGAUCUACAUGUUAAAUACCAACCUGUGUCAUUUUUGCCAGAUCCAGUGAAGGCCUCUGUUUGUGUGUGUCAUCUGGUCUCCUGCGCUUCACACCAGUCUUCUUCUCAUUGAGGACGCAUGGCUGUGAGCGACUACGGGGAAGACCCCCCUGUCCUCCACGGCGUUCCAGUUCUGGAGUGGAGUCGGGGGAGCUGGGAGGUGACGGUCCACGAGGCUCAGGGAGACAAAUUUGUUCAUGAGAGAGGUAGAGGGGCUGCGAUGAAGGGUCGGAGGACAGGGGCACUGAGGAAGAGGAGGAGGGAGUCAGGCUGGUGAACGCAGAAGACCAUGGAGGGCGCUGGGUGAAAGACGGCAGCUCAAGGGUGUUGGAUCGGGCAGGCAGGCUGAAACUGGAGCUGCGCUGCAUGCCCGCAAAGCCACUCUGCAUGUUUCCAAUACUGCUGCGUUGGACGCUUCCUCCACUGUGGCACCUCCGUUUUUCCACAGCUGUCCACACGCGAGAGCCCUGAGGACGCCAGGAAGAGCGACAACCACUGAGCUCGUCUGAGCAAGACAGGGACCGGCACUGUCGUUUGCUGGGGGGAGCGGUGGAGUGCGAGGCCUCAGUUAGGCUUAGGUCCUGCAACAAGUUAGUGAUUGUGCUUGAAGUGGAGCCAACAUCCCAGUCCCAGUGGGCAGAACUUGUGUGCACUUCUGGCAGAACAUCCCACAGGCUCUCCAGGCUGGUUCCAACUGGCCUCCGCUGUAUGGCACACCUGUGACCCAUGUCCCUCCACCGGCUUGUGUCUGCAACAAACAGACCACAUUUAUAUGAAUGAAACUGCCUUUAAAAAACAAAAGACACCCAAACACAAUCCCACCUACAAUAUGGGAAACAAUGUAAGGGCUAAACUUGAACUGAAAGUGUGUUGAUCAAUCAACAGCUGCCCACAGAUCUUAAUGCAGUGUUCAAACUCCAGUGCUAAUCUGUUAGUUUCCCUCUUUUUUCCCUUCAGUCUCUUCAGCAGUUUUCAACAACAGCUCUAUACUCAUGCAGGACUGCAAAUUUACUCCCUAGUGUCAAAUUUACACAAAGAUUUUAAAAAUAUAUUAAGAUACAAUUAAAAAUCCACCAUUAUACACCCCUGCAGCACUGUGCAAACUCCUUUAGGAGAUGAAUCUCAAACAAAGAAAAUUGCUUUUAGCCCUAGGUACUACAAUUGUUUAGUACCCGCAACUUAUGCAAUGCAUAAGCAUGGGUGUCACCAUGUGUACUUUGUGUUGACACUACUCACUGCUUUGUUUAAUUGGCACUAAAAAUAAAUACUGCCCUGCAGCCACUGCUUUAGCGUCACCGUCUGUAAGUACAGCUGAUUGGAAAAGGGAAUGGAGCUCAACGUCCAACUGACUCAACAUGCCUGAGCAAAUGUCAAUAAGCUUCUAACUACAGCUUUUCAUCUCUUCGUUGAGAUUUGCAAGAGCGAUGCAUCAGACCAGCUCGGUAUUUGCAGUCAAUGGUCAGAUAUUCUCCGAAACCAAAGCUACCAUGCAAACACCUGUUAUUGUCAUAGAAACAACACUCGUAAACCACAGAACAGAUAUGCCAAAUGAACUGGUUGGUCAACUCUGAGUCAGAUACUAAACAUCGAGGCCACUGCCCACUUCUGGUAUGCAAAAGGUCUAUUCUUCUUCACUGGAGAUAAAAUUCCCCAAAAUGCCAUCCACAAUACACGGGUAGGACAAAGAACAAAAGGCCUUCUGGUACAGCUCUGUUCUAUGCCAGGACAUUUUCAAUUCUUACACACUCAAUGCCAAGUAACUGCAAGGACAUAAUACAUCCAAUUAUACAAAACAGAGACUGUAAAGUAUGUCCUAACGCUAGAAGAAAACUAAAGAUAUGACUCUUUUGCAGCAUGUCUGGAGUAUUGAAGCAUCCAGGAGUGCCGCAAAAUUUAAAUUAAUGCUAAACCCCCAACACAAAGUCGUUACUGUAUUAUUUUUGUUGGCAAAAACACCUGCCAGACAUGUUUCACCAAACAUAAAGUUACAAUGAACAAAAUGCACUAGACUUUAAUCAUCCAUCUAGACCAUCUAGUACAUAACUACUUUAUAACAACACUUCCUGUCCUGUUUGUUAUUGUAAGCAAUGUGCAACAUGUAAAUAAGUUAAAGAUCUAAGAUUUUAUCCAUGUCACAUAAUGCAAACCUUUACCCAUGAGUCCGCAAGAGAAAAGUGCUGUCCCCUGGCUCAUGGUCUGUGCCUGGAACUGUAGAAAAAGAAAAAAAAAGAAAUUUUUCAGCUUACAGGAAAGCCACAAAAAUAAAAUGUAGAACAGGCUUUAAUAAUUACAAGUCAGUAAACCAACAAAUAAAAAGAAGCAAAAACAACAACUACUGGAAAGACAGAUUCUGUGUAUGCGUUACUGGUCCUACGUGCAACUCGGCAACGCAGAGAAAGAGAGAGAGAGAGAGCAUUCCACCAUAAAUUCCUCUGAUGGAUGCUCAGCCCGUGAACAUGAUGACUUCAUUUCAUGGGACUAAGAGGGCAAAGUCAGUCCAUAUUAGUGGGGGAAUUUUUACUCUGUGCUGAGUCAGAGCUGCUUAUCCUAGUAGAUAGAGCACUAUAAUACUCGUUUCUAGUGAAUCUGUGAGUAUCAUUUUGGUAACAAAAUGGGGGGUGGGGGGGUUCAACAGAGUGGAUUAUUACUGACUAAGAUUUUGUAGCUCUGGUUAAAGUUGGCAAAUUAGAAAAAUAAAAUGCAGAAUCAUAAAAGUGCUAUGGAGUAAUGAGUGGCCAGCAAUAACUUCCUAAACCUGAGCAGAACAUUGUCCUCUUCCUCAUUGGGUGAAGUCUCGUGGUUAGGUUGUGUCAUUUUAUGUAAACAUGUGAAAUAACACACAGAGACGCACACUCACAAAACAUCUGCUCACAUGAAUAAAAAAUAACCUCUUACCGGGACAAAAUUUGUGCGUUUGGUUGUUACAUCAUCGGCACCCUUCUUUUCCAGUGUUUUGGGGUAAAUGAUCACCAUGGCAACGCACAUGCUUGUCCCACGUCGUUACGGUAAUGCCAAGUUAAGCUGGAGGACAUCUCGAUGAGCACGGCGUUAGCAGACUGAUUUCUCAUAAAUUAAAGACGCCCACCCUCGGCUCCUCCCAGAAUGUGCUUCACUCCUCGGUCCAAUCCUGAGCAGACACACAAAGAUGAGCCCAGGAUUAUAAUUCAGUACAUUUCUGACAUUCUGUCGACCAUAUAAGCAGAGAGCCAUCAAGCAGGAGGAGAAGACAAACUCCUUUUUAUGGAGGGACACUAUCAUCAUCUCAGCUUCAACUACUAAACUCCUAAUGGUAUCAAAAGUUAAUCUUAAAAGUCUUACAGGAAAUCUCUCUCCUUGAGAAUAGUUAGAGCUACAGUCACAUUAGCAGCUGUCAGGCUGUAUGCUUUGAGCUAUAUGCUAAUGUGGGCAUGCAAUGAAAAUAAUAACAUGCUUAUGCUAUGUAAAACAUUACCCAUUUGUCAUGUUCCAGUUGUAGCUUUCCAACAAUUUUACAAAAAUUUACACGAUGUAUUCAGCUAAGUAAUCAAACUAUAACACAAGUAAAUGUCCUCGUGUCAGAUUCAAACCCAAACCUCUGCAUUAGUCUUACAGCACAUAGGUCUCCUGUUUUACCCAGUGAUCUAAACCAAUCCCAUAACAUUUUGUAAAAACCCAAUAAUUCUAAUUCUACCACACCUAGAAGCAAAACUUAAAAAGUGGGUCAGGGCUUUCCCCGCCUGAUCACCAGUACAUUUGCUCUUCAAAUCAUCAGGAGACAAUUCAACUGUUGCAUACAUCUGCCUUGUCACAAGGAGUCACCACAGCAGGUAGCUCCACGUUUGAUCCUGCAGUUUUAUGCCGGAUGCCCUUUCUCAUCCAUCCCCAAAGGGGGAUUUGUGUCACUGCUUAAACACUGAAAUACAUUCUCACUCUUACUGUAGCUGUAUAAAAUGGGAAAAUGUGCAAAUGUCACAUUCUUUAUAAGGUUUCAUCUUGCUACUAUAAAAGCCAACUUGUAAGUCAACCCCUUCUUUGGUCAUUUGGAUGGCACAAAUAGCAUGCAUCAAGGGAGAGAAUUAGGUAAAAAAAAAUGUUUCACAGCUAAAUCUAAACAGGUUUCAUAGUCUACUUCAAUUAAUACUUACUAAUACUUGUAUUUAUUUAUUUAUUUUAACAAUGCUUAUUAGCAAGUACUGUAAUAAGGACUACAUGGGGUAACCUGUCACCAUUAGGUCAAACUAAACAGUACAAAGCUAGUUAGGAUGGUUUGAUCAGAUUAAAUUAUACCCUGGGUAGAUAAUGCAUGCUUAGUUUAAGUCUAUCAAAUGAUUUCAAUCACUGGCCUGUUAACGUUGCACAGGCACGCACACUUAUGACAACCAUGAAACCACAAAUAACAUUCUUUCACGAAUGAGCAAGCUUUUAACUUUUUAGAUCUAACUUGCAUAUGCAGAGAUGAGCAUUUAAUACUGAUAAAUUCUCCAACUCGCCCGUCACUCUACACAGGAGCAUCCUGUUCAACAUCUGGAAGAUAGAUAGUGGAAAUUUCAAGGAGGUCAAUGGCUCGACAAGCUCUGUUUAUUAUUCUCAAUGGAGUAAACAUUCCCAGCAAACACUCGCUUUGAUUGACAAGGCGUCACCUAUUUCGUCAUGCUGCCAUCGAUAGAUUAAUAUUACAAGGUGUUUCACUUCCAUGUUCUCUCCAACCUAACAACAAAAGUGGAACUCUAUACCUUGUUUUAUUUUUGCCUGUUUUUAUAGUACAGAGAGCAAGUUUCCUCAAAAGUGUUCCAUUAAGCACACAGCAAGGAAUAGAGCAAAGUCAAAGUUGUGUAAUUGAAUCCUCAGGGGCUGGCUGGGAAUAGCUGACCUUGCGGUUAUCAAAACAACCUUCUUCGUAUUAAUGCUGCGCCAUGAUUACAGUAAAACUGCUGAUUAGUCACAGAUAUAAAUCUAUAUAAUCAUCAUGGAGAAUUUUACAACCACUAGAUCAGUACCACACGAAGCCAAGUAAGAUAGGCGACUGAAAUAAAGUGAAGUGGACACAAGAUCUUCGUACGUUGCAUGCAAGGUCAGAGGGUGUGCACUUAAAUGACAGAACAACUGCAAGUGGAGUAAAAAAAAAAGGGGGGGGGAGAGAUGGUGCAUGCAAAACAAAAGAGUGCUUUGUGCAGAAGAUGAGACACCGUGGGAAACAAUAAAGGCGACAUCUGAGGUUGCCGGCGGUGGGGUAAAGUGUGUGUGCGUGAGGGAUGUUGGGGGAAGAGCAUCACAAGACCCUGCAGGAGCUGACAUGCUGAAGGUGGCAUUUGCAUUCGGCAUAUGAUUUCCAUUACAAGCACUUACCACAUGAAGAAAACAACUUAACUAGAAGGACGUUUUUAGCAGAGUUAUAUAAAAUAAGAUCAACACCACUCAAGGAUGUCUGGCAGUUUUAACUUGUGGCCUGUUUGUUGAGAAAAGGACACAUAAAAGCCUGAAGCUGGAGUGGGUCAGGCCGAUUACACUGUGCAUGAGUAUUAACCUCAGAGAUCUGUUUCACUGCAGAGAUAGCUAUGGAUGUGCUUGGACAGAGGAAACAGUUGUUUAUAUAUUACACUGAAUGACUUGGUGACAUACGUAAGCGACAUUAACAAAGAGAAAAGAAAGUUUGCCCAAACAUGAGAAAAGUUCUGACAUUUAUUUGAACAAAGAGGUAAUUAAAUUACGUCUCCCUUCCCUAGAAGGAUGGAAAAAGACAAAAUCGAGUCCUACAUUCUUGAUUCUAAAAUUGUAAACAACCGCCGCUGUAGCAGCGGCUUAAUCAUCUUUCUCAUGCUUGGGCAUUUCAUUUUUAUCCCACAAAUCCCAUCUCCCAUAAAUCUGAACUGAGUGCUUUAAAUGGGUGAGGUUUAUGACAUAAUUAUAAACAUUCCUCGGCUCCAUGACAUGAGUUGAAUACACAAUUAUAAAAGCCUAACCUUGCAGCCUUUAAAAGCCAUUUAAACUUGUGUCAGUGUGUGAAUAAGUUCUGGCAAAGGCUAGCUUGGUCUGCCUUUUCUUGUACAGACAAACCUGUAAAAGAAAUGUGGAAGCCAUACCAUAGCAUGACUAGUGCUUAAUGGUUACACCCAACCCACUCACCUAAUACUGCAUGCACAGCUGUGCUCAUAGACGGUGUAAUCUGCCAAAUGAGGUAUCUAGAAUUUCUGUCCAAGGGGUGCCACUCCCCUUCUGAUGUCAAAACUCGAAUCACCUCCAUUAACGAUGCUGGCAUUAUCGGGAAUCAGUGGGAGUCUCUAUGGUUCUGCAGCGCGAUAACGCUUUAUCUGAGCCAGGGCAGCUGACACUAUGACAACUGAGAAGUCUAAUCUCUAUAAAAGGGGAACAACGUUGCAGGACGUGCUCCUCAGACGUGGCCUUCCAUCACAUGCAAACAGGCUGCUGACUGACUGCAGCAAAGACUGCAGUGACAGCAGCCAAGUCUGCAGUGACAGCAGCCCUUCUGAAACACAACAAUAAGCCGCCUUGGGCAAGCUGAUGGGACUCCACGCUUCCUUUGUGGUCACUAGAAGGCUUUCAACCAUCGCAGCUUCAGGUUGUCAGAAACAGAAAGCUAUGGCACAGUGUAAAUGAGAUAGGACACGACAGGAAACCACAGAAUUGAUUGGGUCAAGUUAAAGCAAAUGUCUGCUUUAAAGUCAGCCAAGGUCUCAAAACCUCCAGAUACCCUACUGUUUUUUCUAUGAAAAAAGAAAAGAAAUGACACUUUUUUUUUUUACUUAAACUGGGUUUGCACAUCUAAAAUAAGUGCACCCCUGUUUCGUCAAUUUGAACAGCUUUGCCAUACAUGACUUACGGUGUAAUCCCAUGGGUUGGGCCACCAUUAUAUAAGGAUUUAGCAGCUUUGUGUCUGAUGGGCAAUCAGAGCUAAUACUAAUCCAUCUAUAUAGCACUUGGACAGCUGGUGGAAAACAACACAGAUAUGAUUGUUUUAGCCCCAAAUCAAGUGUAUAAUACACUUCUAAACUACUUAUAAGAUUAUUAUGUACCCAUUUGAAGGAUAUCGCAGUGCUUAAAUUUAAAGCUCUCGUCUGGGUACACUGAUACACAAACAUCUUGUGAUGGCGAGGAUGUCAAGCUAAAUUUCCACGCAUCCUCUUUUGAUGUGCACAAAAGAAUGGCAGCUGGAGCUGUGUCCUGCCCUCAACAAUCCCAGGAUUGUGGCCAUCUCAAUAAUCUGAGCAUCUGCUGAGCACCUGAGAUGGCCAGACUUAAAAACGAACUGAGGGAUUUAUGCUGCUCUUCAUGACUGCACCACUUGUGAAAGGAAUGCUGGGUAAAUGCCUGGCUGUGGCUCUCUGCAGAAACACUCCCUUGGAAAGAAUAUGCAUGUUCCUAAAAAGCUUGUUUCCCCAAGCUGUUGGCACUGAUGUUGUUCAUCUUUGGGCUGCAUGCAGGCCCCAUAUUUGGACUCGCAUUUGAACAGUCUCUAAUGACAUGGUGGUGUUUGAAUUAAUAUAGCUAGUGAUACUACAUCAUAGACCAGAUAUGUGAAUGACAUAGUGUCAAACUAGUGUUGCGCUUUUGUAUCUGUGGAUGUGCUGGAACAUACAUCCAAAUUUAAAACAAUAUCAACAUGCAGAAUUCUUACUAUGAAAUUCAAGAUUUUGAAACCUGAAACUUUCUUUGUUGGUACUCUCAUAAGCUGGUCUCACAAAGGGCAGGUGCUACUAAGUACUGUCACGGCUGACUGACUGAAAUGAAAUUUAUGAAACUCAUUGUAGGAGGCAGGCUAGCCCACAGCUGUCUGCAUGUUCACAGAAAUUAGGCUAUGUCAAACAGGAGGUGCACUACAUUUAAAGCAGUGAGUGAAUAGUCAGAAAUGAGCAUGGCUGGGAGGCUUCAAUAGCAGUUAUCAGACUCAGUUGAGGGCCUGGGGUACAGCCAAGGUCUCACAAGCAUGCAGCUGCCCACUUACCAUAAACACAAAGGCUCAGCAUGGCUAUGCAUGGCAGCCAAGGAGGCCUACGUUUUAAAGCAGGCCUGCUGUUUAAUUUUCUCAUACAUAAUCACUUGCACUGUAUACAUUUGUCCAGAACAACGGCUUUGUGGAUCUCUGUAAUCACGGCUUUCAACAAACUUGUCCAAGUUGGAGAGAAAUGCUGUCCACUUGAAUUCUAAAUCUAGCCAAGUCACUUAAUUACAGAGGCUUGAAGACACAACAACGACAUUGGAAAAGCAUUGCAUGUUAAUGGACCAAAAUAAGAAUAAGGCACAUUGAGUGGACAUUAUAAUGCAGGGGAGAGACUACUCCUGGGGUUUACAUGCAGGAAUUUAUCCAACCUAAACACUGCCUUCCCUCUGACUACAUUGUCUCAUGGAAGUGAACAAUGCUGCAACAAUGGCAUUACAGUACACAGGAUAUUUACAUAUUGUUUAAGGCAAGUUCUGAUAGGCAGUCACUCGUGUCCUUGAGCUAAAACUGUUUAACAGUUUUUCAGAGGAGCUUGCCAACCAUCCAGGUGGAUGCCUCUUAAUUUUAGAAGAAAAGGCCCUGAAAACUAAGCUAGUCCAAGUUACCAACACAAACACUCCCUUAAACCCCUUUUCUAAAAUCCUUUAUGAAAGGGAAAUGAGUCUGGCAAAGAAAUUACUGUGAUGGGAGCUCACAGAAGCAAACAGGAUUAUGACAGAAAGGCCACAAGCUGCUAAUUGUGAAAAAUAAAUAUUACACAUGCAUGUACAGAAAGUAAAAAAUAAAUACAUCUGUACUUCAAGGACAAGCCACCUAAUGUAACCCUAAUAAAUGAUACAAGCCACCUAUAAAUUUUAUCAGACCCAAUUAUAGCUAUGGGACACAGCCAGUAGUUCAGGUUUAACAAGUUAACAAGUUCUUGUGUUUAUGAUCCCAACAUCCACUUAAAUUGCAGAAUCUGUUGGACUGUGUAUCAGCCAGUCCUGACUUCAUACCCGAGGGUAAGGUUGGUAAGAUAAAGAUAAGAAAAACAGCAUAGAGUGUAACUACACACGGAUCUGAGAAAUAGAUGGGCCACCAAUGUCCCACCAGCAAAUAAAUACCUGUAAAAUGUAUUUUAAAAGUCUUAUACAUUUGUCACUAACUAAUCAACACUGACUUCUUUUGCAAUGCGUGAGGGAAAAUCCAGUAUGAGAUCAGAAUGUCUGGACUUCAAAGUCACUUUACAAAUGUAUGUGGAUGAAUUUAUACUUACUGUCAAAAAUGCUGAGUGGAUGAAUGGACAAACUUACUAUUAUAUCUUUUUUAUAUAUAUAAUUAUUAUAAGUCCCUACAAUAUUAAAUCACAAAUUAUAGUGACAAAACAUAAAUAUAAUAAGCGGCAGAAGACAAAAUCAUUUACAGUAGAAUUUAUGCAAGUAAUAACCUAGGCAAAACACAAAAAGGGCAUGGCUAAGGCAGUACACAAGAGGAAAAGUUGCUAAGCUAACUAACUACUACUUUUAGCUAUGUUUUGUUUUCACCGACAACACUUUGCUGGGAGUUACUUCUAAUGUGUCACCAUAAAUAUUACAUUAACAGAAACCACGCACUUUCAAAACACAGAGGAACAUCGCACCUCACUCUUUAUGACAUAGUAGUAACAGAUUCAAAGUUAGCUAAGCCAGAAAGUUUUUUUUUAGACUAAAAACUGCCACUCACAAUCAUCACGGUGAGCGUCUCGUAUCUUCAACAACCACCGGGCAACUGGUUAGUUUCGGUUGACCGUGUUGAGUUUUGUUUUACUAAAGAAAAAAAAGAACAGGAAGCUUACUUCAGCUCAAGGCAGCUCCUGCAGACUACAACAUUAACCCAGUGCUCUACUGUCCAACAAGACUGCACGCUAAUGAGCCUGUGACAACAUACGCGAGCCGUACCACUUUGGGUAGGGGCGAGGGGUGUCCCACGAGUUAUUUAUGCUACAAUCUUUUUUAGUUUUCUCAUAUUCUUUGCGUUUCUUUAGUUUAUUUAUACCUCAUACACAAUUCAGUCGAAGCUUGUUAUGGUAGAAAUGAAAAUAUUAUCCUCUGAUGUUUUUUGUAAAAGAGACCACCCCGCGCCUACAACUAAUGGUCUGAGCAACCCUGUUGUAAUGAAAAGUAAUCACAGUUUUGAUCUGAGCAUAUAGACAGGGUACUUUCACAAUACACAGCAGUGUAACAUGAUAACCUACCGAGUGCGUGUGACUUACAGACAGGGUGAGGGAGUAAAAUGCAUGUUCUAUAUACAUAGCUUGUUCCACCUUACAUUAUCAGUUCCAGUACAGCACAGGCCAAUCCUGAAUAAAUAGAUUUAUUGCAAGCAGAUGUUCUUCCAGGAACUAAAUUCAGUCUUUAUCAUGACCUACAGCAGCAAAGCCAUACAAGUUUAGCUUUUCAUACAUGCACACACAAACGCUGUGCAGCUGGUGUAUAUGUGGUAACCUGCACACAAUAUUUGCUUGCCUUCUAACUUCUUAAACAUAUAAAACAGACGUGUGCUUGUGGUCGUUGUACACUUUUAUCAGUUUAUUUAAACAAGUAUUUUUACAAGAGGUGGGUAUCUCACCUUAAAGUUGGUUUAGCUCACUGUUUGUUUAAAUAUGGGUCCACUGGAUGAGCCAGUGGCAAUUCAAUUCAUGAAGUCCAUGCUUUUUCUAUGCAUUGUUAAAGGACUGCAAAUUAUCAUCCCUGUCCCAUAACAUUAUGUACAGUAAAUCAAUAUAUUUCCUAGGAGCUGGAAUUAAUAUAGUGGGCCUCAGAAGGGUGGGGAGCUGAGACUCACCCCUGGCAGACACUAUUGUUAAUCAAGGAGUAACAUCUGUUGUGUGCCUCUAAUCUCCCCCAGACUGUCAGGCUGUCCUCCUCGGUUUUAGACUGUCUGCCUUUUGUGUUAAAGGGCACCCAGGAUUUGUCUCUUCUACUAUCCGGGCUAGAGUUUUGGGGUUUUUCACAAAAUCCCUAUAGAGAAGGUAUUUAGCAAACAGAUAAUAAGACAAACUUUUGGCUUUUCUGUUUCAUAGCAUUAAAAGUCACUCUUUAGGAAGAAAAUACCUUGCAGAACAGGGGUGGAAGUCUUCCUGUUCAACAGGUUUGCUAGUGUGUGUUGUGACUAUCACAACCAGGGGGCAGUGUGCACCAAUUAUAGUGUGGGAAAAUGCUACAAAAAGUAACCUGGAGUGUGUUUGCUGAUGUAGCUACAAAUUAUGGUGUUUUUGCAUAUUUCUUUAUGAUUUUUGUUAAUAAAUCUGUAGCUAGCAUAUGGUUAACAGUAAAUGGGGAGUUAUCUUCCAGCUCCAUUUACUGAGACCCCAUGCAGAAUGCUAUACACCAUCUGGGGUUCACACUGUGGCUGGAGACAGAUGGCUAAAAGACUCCUGUUACAGGAGCCAUCCCUUCUCAACUUUAAUGAACAGUUAAUCCUCUCUAUCACACAGCAUAAUUUCCUAUUAUAUCAGAUAAUUUGAAGCAAAUGUAAUUAAAAUUAAACUUUAGAAACUCGUGCCAUAGCACAGCCCAGUUCCAGUGGUGAAUGAAGAAAGGGGAGUGCAUCUAUUUUGUAUGUGCUGCUUUGGUUUGCUUGUUAUGUAAUCGAAAAACAUAAAUCCUUAAUACAGAAUCAACAUUUUUAAAAUGCAGUUUGCCUGAGCAGGUGACCCCUGAUUAAAGGAAAAACACUGACACCAUUUGUCAAAAUGCAGAAGUACAUUCAUUUCAUAAAUUGCCUGUUGCUGAGUUUUUAUGUUUUGUUUUUACAGUGACUCUCUUGUGUACUCAGUAGGAUACUGUAACUACAGACAGGGCAUAAAAAGAACAUAUGGCUUUCAUGGAAGUCCAUUAAACUUCACUGCUUCUCAUCUAUCCCACUAAUCCUCAUCCAUAAUGUUUAUAGCCAAGUUAAUUGAACUGGCACAUCUCUGUGGGAUUGGAGAUCCCUUCUAAGAGGUUCUAAAGCCACUUUUUUUUUGCCAAAGCAUGCACAUUGCUAAAACCACUACGGCUUCUGAAAGAGGUGCAGCUGUUUGACCAGUAACAGUUCUUUAAGUGACUGUGUGGGUGGGUUAUUUAGGG